AAAAAAAAGAAGUACUGGACUCUUGGGAUAAGAUAAGGUAUAAGGUGAAGCCUGCCCCUUGCACCCCAGGCAAGCUGACCCCCAUGAGUCCCCUCAAAUGCAGGGAUCUUGACUGCAUAAUUUUGUGGCUAUAGGGGACUGCUUUUGUGCCUUUCCCCUA
ensembl:snRNA U1 U1 spliceosomal RNA